rnacentral:tRNA from 1 species
AAACCUAUAGCUCAGUUAGGUUAGAGCGUAUGAUUGAUAAUCAUGAGGUCAGUAGUUCAAAUCUACUUAGGUUUA